rnacentral:lncRNA from 1 species
GUCAAGAACUGCAACGCUGCUGGGUUUUCCCACAUUCAACAGUUUCCCGUGUGUAUGAAGAAUGGUCCACCACCCAAAGGACAUCCAGCCUUGACACUUGACACCACUGUGGGAAGCAUUGGAGUCAACAUGGGCCAACAUCCCUUACUCAUCUCUAUAUUAUGGGGCUGGUUGUGAGAGAUGAAUGGAGGAAGAGAUGGAAGGAUGGAGGAUGAGAUGGAGGGAUGAGGGAGAGAUGGAGAGAUAUAAAGAGAGGGGGAUUACAGUAAGGUUAAGGAAGCAUGUUGAGAGAUAAAUUUGAUAAAUAUGUCCCUUGAGGUGUGAGGGGGAGAGGGAUGGAAGGAGACAGAAGGAUGCAGAGAGAGAUGACGAGGGACAGAGGGAGAUGACGAGGGACAGAGGGAGAUGACGAGGGACAGAGGGAGAUGACGAGGGACAGAGAGAGAUGACGAGGGACAGAGGGAGAUGACGAGGGACAGAGAGAGAUGACGAGGGACAGAGGGAGAUGACGAGGGACAGAGAGAGAUGACGAGGGACAGAGGGAGAUGACGAGGGAAAGAGAGAGAUGACGAGGGACAGAGAGAGAAGACGAGGGACAGAGGGAGAUGACGAGGGACAGAGGGAGAUGACGAGGGAAAGAUAGAGAUGACGAGGGACAGAGGGAGAUGACGAGGCACAGAGGGAGAUGACGAGGGAAAGAGAGAUAGAGGGAAAGGUGGUAAGAUGUUGCUGGAGGUUUGAAUGGGAGUAAGAGAGAAGAUGGAGGGAGGAAGAGAGAUGACAGAGGGAGGAAUAUGGAGGGAUGAAGGGAGAUGACAGAGGGAGGAAGAUGGAGGGAUGAAAGGAGAUGACAGAGGGAGGAAGAUGGAGGGAUGAAGGGAGAGACAUCAGGCGUUGUGGGGGCACUAGAGCGUAGUUUCCUGUCAACAAAGUUUAGUCUGAAGACCUUUCUUCGUAUCCUGUUGUAUAUUUUAUUAUAGGGAACACAGUCUAUAUAUCCUGUUGUAUAUUAUAUUAUAGGGAACACAGUCUAUAUAUCCUGUUGUAUAUUAUAUUAUAGAGAACACAGUCUAUAUAUCCUGUUGUAUAUUAUAUUAUAGGGAACACAGUCUAUAUAUCCUGUUGUAUAUUAUAUUAUAGAGAACACAGUCUAUAUAUCCUGUUGUAUAUUUUAUUAUAGGGAACACAGUCUAUAUAUCCUGUUGUAUAUUAUAUUAUAGGGAACACAGUCUAUAUAUCCUGUUGUAUAUUAUAUUAUAGAGAACACAG